rnacentral:rRNA from 1 species
UCGGGAAUAUUGGACAAUGGGCGCAAGCCUGAUCCAGCCAUGCCGCGUGAGUGACGAAGGUCUUCGGAUUGUAAAGCUCUUUUACCAGGGACGAUAAUGACGGUACCUGGAGAAUAAGCCCCGGCUAACUUCGUGCCAGCAGCCGCGGUAAUACGAAGGGGGCUAGCGUUGUUCGGAAUUACUGGGCGUAAAGCGCACGUAGGCGGAUUUGUAAGUCAGGGGUGAAAUCCCGGGGCUCAACCUCGGAACUGCCUUUGAUACUGCAAGUCUCGAGUCCGAUAGAGGUGAGUGGAAUUCCUAGUGUAGAGGUGAAAUUCGUAGAUAUUAGGAAGAACACCAGUGGCGAAGGCGGCUCACUGGAUCGGUACUGACGCUGAGGUGCGAAAGCGUGGGGAGCAAACAGGAUUAGAUACCCACGUAGUCCCUGAGCGGGCUGGCAAGGCGCAU